rnacentral:rRNA from 1 species
UACGUAGGGGGCAAGCGUUGUCCGGAUUUAUUGGGCGUAACGAGCGUGUAGGCGGCCAUACAGGUCAGCUGUGAAAACUCGAGGCUCAACCUCGAGACGUCGGUUGAAACCGUAUGGCUAGAGUCCGGAAGAGGAGAGUGGAAUUCCCGGUGUAGCGGUGAAAUGCGCAGAUAUCGGGAAGAACACCUAUGGCGAAGGCAGCUCUCUGGGACGGUACUGACGCUGAGACGCGAAAGCGUGGGGAGCGAACAGG